ensembl:lncRNA
ACUCAUUCGUGUCCUCGUUUCCGGCCGGGACGAGAACCAGGAGUGAGGCCUCCCUCGAGAGCUUCCGAAACCCUUAACAGUACCCCUUGGCUGCGUACAGUGUUGAGUAAAACGCUUGGUUACACUCAAAUGUCACAUCUGUUGUUCGUUUUAGCUCAUUGAAACUUUCACAUCUUACAAUAUCUGUAGUUUACACUACUAUUACCUGGAAAUACCACAAUAGUGUACUUUUUACAUUUCAUACUACUCAUAACCAUUAUUAUAAGAUGCACAUAUAUUGUUAUGAUAAAUAGUUAAAAUAUUUAUUCUGCAUUUUAAGACUGGAUAAGAAAAUAUAAUUUGAAUUGUAAUUUUUAAUUAUAUUUUAAUUAGCCUUUUAUUUUGAUUGUACACUACAGGCCAUUGACAUCAUUUACUGUGUGUAUGGUCUUAUCCACAAGCUUCUACUUGGCAAGUAGAAGCAAUGCUAUUUAACUUAACCGAAUUGAGAAGUAGGUCCUCAGAUUUUGGACAUUAUUUUACUCAUUCAUCAAAGUGACCAAAUUAAGAACGAAGACACGAUGAAGGUUGUUCAAGCUGCCCCAAUUAUUAUAAACAAACAAUUAUUAUAAACUGUCGUCAACUUUCAGUUGACGAUAGUUUGAGCAGUCCCUGUUGUCAACAGUUAACUGAUAGUGACUUAUCACCUUAUACAGUCAUCUGCCGGAACAUCUUCACAGGACACCAAAAUCCUGCCUAUGGACAGUACCACAGAACAAAGUCAGCCGUGGCAAAAGGAGUUAACCAUUCCAUAGUUUGCAUAUGAAACUGAGAUGUGUCUUUAAAGAGCCAAUGAAGACUACAGGAAAACACUUCAAACUACCUCAAAGGUCAAGGCAGAUGUAUUUGAGAAGCUAGCUAAAACUGUAUAUCCAUAUACAGCUUAUCCAUCAAGUGCACAGAUUAGAGAGGUUUCUGAGGCACUUCUCAGGAAGUAUCCUUGUCUCAAGGAACCCGGCUCUUUCUCAGGUUACUAUGGCUGGCAGCAAAGCAUGGCGAAUUAUCACACCAAACUCAGAGGAUACGGUGUUCCUGAGGUGAUGUGCAAUGCACUAAAACGCAAGAGCACUGCAGACCAGAAGUCUGCAAAAGGUAUAAAAAAGCCUCGAAAGGCAGGUUAACUACCUCCCUCCUCACCCGGCAGGAGAGGAUGAAGAAAGUCAAGAAGAAGAGAGGAUUGAGUUACUUACCGAAGCAAGGAAAAGGAACAACGACAAAGUAAUAAAAGAAAAAAUGGCCGAAAAGGUAAAGCCAUUAGAGGACAUCAAAGCCAGAUGGCCAGCUCUAUUUGCGGAUUCUCACAUCCAGGAUGAGUUUUACAGAAUCACAAGAGUACACUCUACAGUCUACAGUCUUCUGAACCUCUUCCAGUCCAAGGGAGGAGUCAUGGGGCUGAGGCUGAAGGCUGUUCUACUCAAGGUCAUUCAUUGACCCUCAUUGAGCCCUCAACAUCCUCAUCCUCCUGGACCUAUGUGCAGCCUUCGGCACCGUGAGUCACACUAUCCUGUUCACCAGACUGCAAGCCAUCGGUAUCGAAGGUACUGCACUCACGAACAGAUCUCACUUUAUCUCCCUUCACAAAAACUCCUCUGCCACAUCCACAGUUACACAAGGUGUCCCCCAAGGCUCUGUACUAGGUCCACUCCUGUUCAUAAUCUACUUAUUCCCACUCGGUCAGAUCCUUCGUCACUUCAACCUGGACUUCCACUGCUAUGCUGACGACAUUCAGAUCUACCUCAGCACCAACAACCCUCACAACCCACCGCUCUCC